UUCUUCAUUUUCUAGUCCGUCGCAUAUCAGGCUGCUGUUUCAUUUCCUCUGUUUCUCUCUUUCACAGGAUUAUACCAUUCCUCUUCGCUGGGUCUUGGAUUAAGGCUCGUGAUGGGAAACUGUUGAUAAAUGGUAUUGAACAAGAUGAAGAUUUUGUUCUAGAGCCUUUGGGUUACGAAAUGGAACCAUUGGUUGUGCCAGAAGGUUACGUUUUCGUGUUGGGAGAUAAUCAUAACAGAAGUUUCGAUUCCCAUGAUUGGGGCCCGCUUCCCAUCGAUAACAUUAUCGGGAGAUCAGUAUUCCGCUAUUGGCUUCCAUCCAAAGUUUCAGAUACCAUACAUUAUACACAUGUUGGGAAAGAUGCUGUAGCAGUUUCUUGACAUCUGAGAUAACUUAAAAAAGACUCGGUACUUACUUGGCUCAUAUCGAGCAUCUUCGAAUACCCAUCAGACACGGAAUAGGCCAGAUUCGGCAGAAUCAAGAAAAGAAAAAAUCUGGGUUCAUCUCUGUUUCCUGAAAAAAGCUUUUUUUUGUUGCUUAUUUCAUGCUAGAAAGUGGGGGCUGCCCUUACGAAAAUGGUUGAAUUAAAAAGAUCUUUCAAGAUUGGUUGAUAAAACAGAUACAAGGAUUGUGUAAACAUGUAGCAGGUGGAUUACAUCAGAUUUCAUGGCUGGAAAAAAUAGGAACUUUGAGGGCUAACAUUUUGAAUCAAGCAAAUGAGGUGUUGACAGUGGAAAGAGGAGGCUGUUAAAUUGUAUUACAACCAUACUUUGAGAUCUUUUGAAUCUGAAUUAUCUUUUUCUAAUAUUCAUAUGUAUUGGUGUUGGUACUUGGUUGUUUCAUGCUUCUGCAUGUUCCAUUGUUUGAAACUUUAAUUUUCAUAAUGCAAUUCAUUCAAUUGUGUGUAUAA